rnacentral:rRNA from 1 species
UACGGAGGGUGCAAGCGUUGCUCGGAAUUAUUGGGCGUAAAGGGUAGGUAGGUGGUCUCAUUUGUCUGGGGUGAAAGCCUUGAGCUUAACUCAAGAAGUGCCCCAGAAACGGUGAGACUAGAGUUCUAGAGAGGGUCGUGGAAUUCCCGGUGUAGCGGUGAAGUGCGUAGAGAUCGGGAGGAACACCAGAGGCGAAGGCGGCGACCUGGAUAGAUACUGACACUCAACUACGCAAGCGUGGGGAGCAAACAGG